rnacentral:rRNA from 1 species
UACAGAGGGUGCAAGCGUUGUUCGGAAUUAUUGGGCGUAAAGGGCGCGUAGGCGGUUCGGCAAGUCUCUAGUGAAAUCUCUGGGCUCAACUCAGAGUCUGCUGGGGAAACUGCCGGGCUUGAGUGUGGGAGAGGAGAGUGGAAUUCCCGGUGUAGCGGUGAAAUGCGUAGAUAUCGAGAGGAACACCGGCGGCGAAGGCGGCCAUCUGGACGAGGACUGACGCUGGAGAAUGCGAAAAGCCGUGGGGAGCAAACAAGG